AGCAGGCGGGUACAAAAUUUGUUAUUAUUAAUUACUCAAAUAACGAGGAGAGUUAGGAGUGUGUUAGAGCUGUGUGUUAGUUGAACGAGUCGAUUCGAGUCUGAGAUAUACAGUUUGUCAAUUUAUCAAAAAUAUAUAUAAUAUUUACACUUGGCAGUAGUUCUCUCUAUCUUCGCCAAGGUUCAUGCCAAUCAAUAUGAAUAACAGUUGAUGAUGAGCUGUUGUGAUGUGUGAUGUCUGUGUAUGAACUUGAGUUUAAUGAGCAACUUUCGUAAUUAAUAAUAAACAUGCAUAGAGCAGGAAUUAGUAGAAACAAGAGGCGAACUGUCAGAUGGAGGAGAGACAGAUAAAGUCAAACACACAAUAUUUUAAACUUACUUUGACAUCGUCAAUAAGGCUGAUUAAGAUGCCGUUAACCCAGCUAAAGGGUGCUAAAAUUAGUUAUUAACGUUAUUAUCCAUGAAAACACCUCAAAUGACAUUCAAGUCUCAAGUUCUCAGUCUCGAGACUUAAAUGCCAAGUUAUUAUCUUUUAUAUUACAGCCCUGAACUUCUUCAACUACAAGUAAGGCGACACUCAUCAGAGGACGAACAAAGCGAAGGCAAAUUAAGUUACAGAUUGUAUCUGUUGUCAAACAAUUUGUAUUCGAAGUAUCCAUUACUUAACCGAAAAACAAUUCAGGUCAAUGUAUAGUUAGUUAGACUUAAUCAAACCGAAUCCAAUAAAAAAUCCUUAUACCAUAAAUAAAAUGUUAACCCAUCAUGCACUCAAUAUACAUUGUAUGUUGGCUCUUUAUAGAAUUAGUAGUAAAUAAAAUUACUUUACGU